rnacentral:rRNA from 1 species
GACGAACGCUGGCGGCGUGCCUAAUACAUGCAAGUCGAGCGAAGCGGCGGAUGGGUGAGUAACGCGUGGGUAACCUGCCCUUAAGUCUGGGAUACCAUUUGGAAACAGAUGCUAAUACCGGAUACUAAAGGAUGGACCUGCGAUGCAUUAGCUAGUUGGUAAGGUAACGGCUUACCAAGGCGAUGAUGCAUAGCCGAGUUGAGAGACUGAUCGGCCACAUUGGGACUGAGAUACGGCCCAAACUCCUACGGGAGGCAGCAGUGGGGAAUAUUGGACAAUGGGCGAAAGCCUGAUCCAGCCAUGCCGCGUGUGUGAAGAAGGUCUUCGGAUUGUAAAGCACUUUAAGUUGGGAGGCGUUACCAACAGAAUAAGCACCGGCUAACUUCGUGCCAGCAGCCGCGGUAAUUC